rnacentral:rRNA from 1 species
AUACGGAGGGCGCAAGCGUUGUUCGGAAUCAUUGGGCGUAAAGCGAACGUAGGCGGCUUGGUUAGUCGAAUGUGAAAUCCCUGGGCUCAACCUGGGAAUUGCAUCCGAAACUGCCAAGCUAGAGUGUGGGAGAGGGAAGUGGGAUUCCGGGUGUAGCGGUGAAAUGCGUAGAUAUCCGGAGGAACACCAGUGGCGAAGGCGACUUCCUGGCCCAACACUGACGCUCAGGUUCGAAAGCGUGGGGAGCAAACAGGAUUAGAAACCCCAGUAGUCC